rnacentral:rRNA from 1 species
CACGUAGGGCGCAAGCGUUGUCCGGAAUUAUUGGGCGUAAAGAGCUCGUAGGCGGUCUGUUGCGUCCGCUGUGAAAACUCGGGGCUUAACCCCGAGCCUGCAGUGGAUACGGGCAGACUAGAGGUAGGUAGGGGAGAAUGGAAUUCCCGGUGUAGCGGUGAAAUGCGCAGAUAUCGAGAGGAACACCGGUGGCGAAGGCGGCUAUCUGGACAGAAACUGACGCUGAGACGCGAAAGCGUGGGGAGCAAACAGG